ensembl:snoRNA SNORD15 Small nucleolar RNA SNORD15
CUUCCGUGAUGAUACGAUGACGAGUCAGAAAUGGCCACCCUCCUGCCCAGAGUCAACAACAUUGUGCCACGUUCUGUGGCUCUCUGUUUAGUUGCUCUGGUCAAUGGUGUCCUCUUCCUUGGAUGAUCCUGAGGCAUUUGUCUGAGAAGG